rnacentral:miRNA from 1 species
AAAGUCUUCACUACUUUCAGUU